UACGUAGGGGGCGAGCGUUGUCCGGAUUUAUUGGGCGUACAGAGCGUGUAGGCGGCUUUACAGGUCCGUUGUGAAAACUCGAGGCUCAACCUCGAGACGCCGGUGGAAACCGUAAGGCUAGAGUCCGGAAGAGGAGAGUGGAAUUCCUGGUGUAGCGGUGAAAUGCGCAGAUAUCAGGAGGAACACCCGUGGCGAAAGCGGCUCUCUGGGACGGUACUGACGCUGAGACGCGAAAGCGUGGGGAGCAAACAGG
rnacentral:rRNA from 1 species